AGAGGCCGCGGGGUCGCGUCCACGCGCUGCCCCCGGGGUAUGAGACGAGACGAGACCGCGGGCUGCGGCCGCUCGUCCUCGGUCCGUCCUCCGUCUGUCCGUCUGCCAGCGGCGGGAAAGCUGGGCGCUCUGAGCUCCCCUUGGACAUCGCCACACCCAGGACCUGCUCGUGCCGCAAUUCCCCACGGAAAUGACCGAGUUUGAAAAGAGAAGCUUGUUCCCCUGGUGCGGGAGAGAGAAUGAUGCUCCAGGGGACUCCCGAGCCCACGCGGGGCCCGGCCGCCCCACGCCGAUCCCCGGCGCGCCCGCGGUGCUGUGCCAGGCGGCGGCGCUUCCGCGCUGACCCGUCACUGUGGAUGGAGAAAGUUUGGCUCCUGCAGGGGAAGACGUUGCGGAGAAGAUGGACGCACCAGACAGAUUCCACUUCGCCCGCUUUCGCGUUUGAAGGCUCUUGUUUACAGUGGCAGCAUGACUUUUUGUCAUCGCGAGUGUGAAGUCACUUCCCUCAAACCCCCCGCGCAGCCCUUCUUCCUCUCUGGACUCUGCCACCUCUGGAAGAGAAGCUGACAUUGACUUCACCAUCCCCUCCCCACAGUGCCACAGGCACUCUGAGGGCACCCCUUUUCACCUCUGCUGAGAAGAGGCCAAGUGCAUGCAUGGGGUGUUCUGUUUUGCUUUGAUUUGUGUGUGUGUGUGGGGGGGAGUUAUUUCUUGGUGUCCGAGUUGGGUUUAAUAUUUUGGAAACAGGGUCUCUUGUACUCCAUACUGGAUUCGAAUUCACUUAUGGCCAUGAGAAGUCUUGAACUCGAUAUCCUCUUGCCUCCACUUCUCAAGGGCUGGAAUUACAUGCUUGUGCCACCAGGCCAGGCUUGCACUGGUCUUUUAAAUCUUGAAGUGAAGAUAUGAGUCUGUGAAUGAAUGAAUGACAUAUUGACGGCAGGCAUUAAAGGAUUUUUAAACAGCAUUCGGUUUCUGGUGCUGUUUCUGUGGACAGGACUGCAUAGAUUCACUAGUAUUGUAGAUCUCCACCACGGAACUUGAAAGCUAUUCGUGGUUGCGACAGCUGCAGUGGUACCGGAGCGUUUGCCUUCAAAGGUUUCAGAAGAAAGAAUAAAACAGAGAGAGAAAUUUUCAAAAGCACAGCAAAUAAAUCCAAAAGUUCGAUAUUCAAUUAGUAAGAUAUACAGAUCCAGGGUGCAGCAGAGGAAACUGCAGUCAACUUACAAUACUUGCUGAAGGUUUCCAUCUCGACAUACUGAGUGCCUUAUCCUCUAAUGCAUCCUUACUACCAGUCUCAGAUAACUACAUCAGGCCAGGGUGACAAAGAAGAUGGUCGACCACAUCAAGCCUCCCAUCCUAUGAUGAGACAACUUCAGGCCAUGGUCU